GGUUGUCCAAAUUAGGCGUUUUCUGCGGUAAAACCUGUGAUAUAACGAUAUUCCACUAUUUGGUGUGUUAACAAAGAAAGACCAAAAUCGGAAAGAGGCAGGAAUAUUUCAAGACUUUGAGACCAGCUUUAUAACAACUCUUGGAUUGUCUCAACUAGACUAUCUUUACUGCACAAAUUACUGUGAUGCUAAUAUAACCGAAAUUCGCGAAAGAAGAAGGACACAUAUUCCUGACAUAGACAUCCCUGUGCUAAAGUUCCUGAUUCAGGUUUUGGAUCCUGAUCAUGAAUGUACUGAUUUCAAUAGGAUCUCAGGAUUUUCGAAGA